rnacentral:misc_RNA from 1 species
UUCCCAGGAUCAAGGUGUAUCUGUACAUGAUCUUAUUGUUCACUGCCAGCCGCAGCCUUAAAUAUCAUCUUUCUGGAAACAAAACUCCCUGCCCCAUUCCUCACAUCGGAACGAUAUAUAUAGAAGGGGAGCGGGGGGAAAAGAACUCCAACAAAACUAAGGAGAUAAAAAAAAAGGACUGCUGCUACAAUGGACCCGGAAGAACCAGUCUCUCACCCGCCGAAUCACAUCAUUUUACAGACAAAAUCCUCCGAUCCCAUGGCUGCGCUUCAAAAUCCAGCCACUCGAAUGAUUUCCGGAGAAUUCGCGGCAAAUUUGCUUCGAACUCAGAUCUCCUUCACUGCU